rnacentral:lncRNA from 1 species
AAGGUAAAAGAGUCUCACAUUGGUGAGAGGAGAAACCCCACGUCACCUAAUUCGUGUUGUCCAUCUGUUUCACUUGAAAAUUUGUCAUAUGUGAGAGAGCGUGUGAGAAUAUGAAUGUAAAAGAGUCUCAUAUUGGUGAAAGGAUAAACCUUGCAAGAACUUAUAAGAGGUUAGGCUACUCUCAUAUUGCCAAUUGAUUUUAUGGUGGAACAUCAACUUUCUUCAAGUUUCAACCAAAAAAAAAGGAAAAAAAACAUUUGAAUUCUCAAGGCUCACAAGUUGCAUGUUCUUCUCAUGAAAAUGCUUCAAAAAUAUUAUUAGGGUUUCAAAGUUUCCAGUCAUGAAUUUAAAUUUGGGUUUCCCUGCAAAGCUGGAAAUUAUAUAGAGAGCAAUACCUAAUCGAAUGUCUAACUUGGCAAUUGACGCCCUUUACAACAGUGUGUAUUGUUCAAUAUUCUUAGUAUUGAAUGGUUCAGAGGUUUAUUUAUCGGUAAAAUUGAUGAGUAACCCUAAUUUCAUACAAAAGCAAUGAUUGAUUAACAAAGUGCGACCUGAUUAGUAACAUUGUCUACUUUUAUAAUUAAAAGCCAAGGUUGUGCCACAUGUCAGCAAAUUAUACAAUUGGUUGCCAGUUAGAACAUCUCUUAAAGAAAUGUCAAACAUAAUAUGUCAGAAUUUUAUUUGAUUGAUGAUGUGACCGAUUGGAUAUAAAAUGUUAAAUUAAAGGCAUUUGACUUUAUUUUUCUUUUAAUGUAAAAAUGACAACUAAAAAGCAAGAGGUCAAAUGACUUAACUGUCAUGUCAUAUAUGACAUCUUCCUUAGAGAACACCAGGAUAUCUUUUUGUCCUAGUUGACGUAUUUGACAUAUUCUUUGGAGAUAGUUUUAGGAGUUAGUAAAAGAAAGGAAAAGAGAGGUGUGAAACUGUAGAGUUUCUUAGAAUGCAUCAGUAACAAUCACGACAAGUGGUUUAGUGGAAAUGUAGUAGAAUUCUAGGUCAUGUAUGCUUUUUGGUCUUGAGUUUGAGGUACGAAAGAUGACACAACACGGAUGAUUCUCUGGUUGAAAGCUUUGAGAGGAUGUGUGUCAUUUGACUGUGGCCAACAGUGGGUUGAAAUGUCUUUAGCCUUUCUAAGUCCCAUUGGAGUUUAAAUCUUCCAUUCAGAGUGUGGGAUACCUCAUAUUUUGACAAAUAUAUAUAUAUGUGUGUGUGUGUGUGUGUGUGUGUGUGAAUAAUGAUUGUAAUCAUUCUUACUUCUCUUUUCAAUGAAAUUCAAUUUCUAUUCUUCCUUCUUCUAUUCCUCUUCUACUUCUCUUAAUGAAUUGUUUAACAUAGCUACAUAGCAGGUUGGCUCAUGUAUAACGUUCAAUAUACACAUGUGACCUUUGUGUCAUUUGAGAGAGCGUGUGAUGAAGUAAAAGGCAAAGUUUUACAUUUGAGAAAGACCAAACUUUGAAAGGACUUAUAGUGAGUUGAGUCACUUCUCAUAAUGUAAAUUGGUUUAUGGUGAAACCCCAAUUUACCAGUAUGUAAUGUGAAUAACACUAGAAAAAAAAACAAUUGUUUUAAGGGUUUUUAUCACAAAUGGUCUUUGAAAUUGACCUAUUCCAUCAAAAUGGUCUCUGAAAUUAAAAAUCGGUCAAUGUGGACCAUUCCGUCCCAUCCCAAUUUUGUCCAAAAUUAUGUUAUGUGCUUAUGUGGAACAUAACUGGAUUCCACAAAUCUAAUUAAAUAUUACCAUGUGAAUAAAAAUAUAAAAAAAAAUAAUUUUUAAUCAUAAAAUAGGCCACCAUCUCCUUAUGCACCAUGCGUUUUUAUAUAAGUGGUAGAAAAUUUUAUUUUUUAAGUUAUUAACUUUUUAACAUACAUAUCCCGCAAUUUGUAUAGUAAUCUGUGGUGUACCAUCCAUGUUCCGGUCACACUAAAAUAUCUCUCAUUCUCUAUCCACCAUUUCCUCAUUCUUCUCAGAACCACCACAGUCGGAAAUUCGACUCACCAACAGUCGCGAGGAAAUCCGCCUCCGCCAAGUUUAGUUUCCCUGACAACCCAUUAGAUAGAGAAGGUGAGGGUUUUGGGGAUUUGGGUGCGGGGGCUUUGAAGAGAGGAAAGUCGAAGGUGACAGUGUUUUCUUUUUCGACCAUUGCAUUUGGACAUUAAACCAGUAUGGUCAAGAACCACGGUUGACAUUCGAUCAGCCUAACUUCCACUAGCACGAUUUCCACGCCGUUGGUGGUGGUGGUGGUUUUGCCGGUGAUGCCCAUAACGACUCGGACUCGUCCUUGGUGGUCGAUUUGAAACAGAACGAUCUUUCUCGCGGCGUCGCAGGUUUUGAUGUCAACCUCCCUCUAGCAGAACUUGCUUGAUUUUAGUUUUUGAGAAGCACACAACAGCGGCCUGAGUUUAUAAGGGGUCUUCAAUUUCAAUUUUCUUUUUCUAAUUUCUAAGAUUGAAAAAAAAAACAUUAAAUAACAACCAUUGAAGAAGCUUUAUGUGAAUAUGUAGCUGACCAGAUCAUCAUUCUUUUUCUUGUAGUAGCGAAACUCCACCAUGUUUCAAUCUAUUGUUGUGAAUUAGAGACAACUUUUUUAAUAUAAAUUUUCAGUUGUAAUUGUGGAUGCAAAUUUUUUCCUCCUUGUUCUUGGACAAAAUUGCACCUACAAAACAAAUAACACCUUAGGUCAAGGCCAAAAGCCUCAUGCGCCCACGAUGAAUUGGGGGGGGGGGCUUUGGUCGAAGAACCUCUAAUGCCAAAGUUAUAAUUUUGAAGAAAAAGUGUUUGGAGAAUUUUUUGAGUGUUUAGCAAGAGUGAAAACCUAGGUUUUUAGAGAAAAUGAGGUAGAAUAUAUAAGGCAUGGCCGGCCCCUUUGGGACAUAAGGUGACCGACCUCUUGUGUCUUUUUUGGGUGUAAUUGGUAGUUUAAUUAGCCAUUAAUAGAUUAAUUAGGUAAUAAAUCCAUUAAUUAGAUAAUUAACAUAAUUUAAAAGGAAUGUUUUGGGGGUUACCUUGUGGAGAAAAUAUGAUGAGGGCUGGAUAAAAUAGGUUAUAAAUA